CCAGAAGAAUCCAGAGCAACUUCCAGAAUGUGGUAUAACACCUGGUUCACCGAGUUACAGGGAGAAUAGAAAGAAUGGAUGCCCAGAGCCUGGCACAACGAAUGCACUCAACAGAUGGGCUGGGACUACGGUUAGCAUCAAACUCGGAGCCUGAGCCAGCCCUGCGAAACUGGAGCCUCGCCCUCUCGGCGUCGGCGCCCGGAGGCAGCCGCUCGGGGCGUGCACCCCGGCGAAGCCACGUGAAGCCACAGGAUGUGUGGAGAGGAAUGGGGAGCGAGCAACAGCAACCACCACCGGAGAGCAGUGCAGUGCAAGAAGGUUGCACCAGGAGACUGUACCCAUUUGCUGUGUGACCCUGGACGAGUCACUCAGCAUCUCUGGACCUCGGUUGCUACAUCCAUAAAAUGAAGCGUUUGGUUACAUUAUCUCUGGAGUUCUUUCCAAGGCCGAAAUUCUGGGUGUGGAUAAGUUCUGUGAGCUCCAACGAACGUUCAUAUAUGCUCCAGGAGAGCAUGUAAUAGCCCAGAAACGUGUUCAACAUAAAUUGUUUUUGUCUCUCAAGCCCUGUGAGACUGCUGGAAGCUCUGCUUAGCGUCUCUGCUUCUUAGCAUCUGCUGUCUGCUCAGCUUCGCAGUCUCUCCAUCUAGCUACCUAGGAAACGGCAAAUUCAUGGGAAAAAACACAUAGAUCGCUGGGCUCACCCCCUGUGUUUCUCUUCACUCUGGGAUCGUGAUCCUUCAAGUCCUGGCUUCCUGGAUAGCUCUUUGGUGCCCUCUAACAGAUCUGAAUUUUCUUUUUAACAAUUUUAUCCAGAUUUUCUGGUUGUUUAUUGAGAGGAUUGAUCUCUACCGGCUAGUUUGUCAUGGGGAAAAGCAGAAGUCCCUUCGUAUGUUCCUAAGUGAAAGUGGCUGGUCAUUAAAUGGGAUUCUAUUUAUAUGCAAACGUGUAUGUGCUUAUGCGGAAGAAAUAGAGAGAGAGCAAAAGCUAUACACAGCUCUUAUCUCUGGCUAGGUUUUCAUUUUUUACCGUUUAGUUAUAUUUUUCAAUUUUAUACAAUGGACACUGAGAAUGUCCAAACUGGGAUUGACUGUUGAGGUCAUUUACACCCAUUUUAAAAAUGGGGAAACUGAGGUCAAGAACAUUUAAGUUCAUUUCGGUUUAAUAACUAUCGGAUGCUUGCUGUAGGCCAAGAACCACGCUGGGGGCCUCAGGCCAUCUAAAGAAACGUAACGCCUGGUCACUCCUUCCUCCAUCUCAGAUGUCUCCAACAUGUGCUAGACUUUGGGAUAUGAAGAUGAAGAGAACAAGAAUCUGCCCUCCAGAUAUUCUAGCUGGGGAGGAAGAUAUCCAAAUAAACAUCCCAGAAACCAUGUGCCAAAUGCUAAAGUAAUGGUGUGGCAGAGACUGUGGUUUGCCUCUUAAUAACCAUUCUUCCAAAAUCCAACUAAAAGAUAAUAUUUCCCAGCCUCCCUUGCAGCAAGUUGUGGUCAUGUGACUAAAUUUUGGCCAAUGAAGUAUAAGGGGAAGUGUUGUGGGGAUUUCUGGGAAGUCUUUUUAAAGGGAAUAAGCAAACUCUCCUUUCCUUUUUUCUGCUGUUUGAAACGUAGAUGCAAUGGCUGGAGCUUUAGGAGCCAUUCUGACCCGUAAUGUCACAUUGGGAAGGGAACCCCAUACUAGGAUGAUGGAGCAGAUAAAAUAGCCCCAGUCACUCACAUGGAGCUGCUAUAUCAGCCCUGGGUUGUCUAUCUCCAUACUUCUUUUUUUUUUUGAGGAAGAUUGGCCCUGCACUAACAUCUGUUGCCAAUCUUCCUCUUUUUUCUUUUUUCUCCCCAAAGCCCCACACAUAGUUGUGUAUCGUAGUUGUAAAGUUGUAGCUCUUUUAUACGGGACGCCACCUCAGCGUGGCUUGAUGAGCAGUGAGUAGGGUCUGCACCCAAGAUCCGAACCGGUAAACCCUGGGUCGCCAAAGUGGAAUGCGCAAACUUAACCGCUAUGCCACCGGGCCGGCCUCGGUCUCUCCACACUUCUUUUGUAUGAGAAAUAAAUAAACUUCU